GAGAAGUGUAACUGCCACCCCAGCCCCCACCCCAUUCCAACUGACGACAGAGUGAGUCUGAGUUUAAAGAUGGUAAGAGAAUGAGCUUGGUCCCUAAGGAAAGGAGAAGUGAAUCUACUAAAUAUCUGCUGAAAAUAUUUUUCUAAGACUUCUCCAGUUCACACUGAAAAGCAGGCACCAUGGAGUGAGACCGGUUCCAUUAUCCAGUGUAAGAACACCAAGUAACUCUACAGGAACAUGAUGACCUCCUCAGAGAGGAACAUCUAUGCUGGCAUCCAUCAUCGAUGACAACUGAAAGACCUGGUAUGGCAUCUCCAGUCACUGAUCCCAGAUGGUCAACGUUCCUGCCUCAUAGCCCAGUAGUCCCAGAUGGUCAACAUCCCUGCCUCAUAGCCCACCAGUACCUGUAUAACUGCCUCAAGAUUAUGUGCUUGUUUAUGAUGGUCUUUGGGACAUGAGUGUUCCAUCUUCCAAUAUUGCUGGCUAAUAGAAUAAAUCCCUUUCUCAACCAA
rnacentral:lncRNA from 1 species